GACGAACGCUGGCGGCGUGCUUAACACAUGCAAGUCGAACGGAAAGGCCCUGCUUUUGUGGGGUGCUCGAGUGGCGAACGGGUGAGUAACACGUGAGUAACCUGCCCUUGACUUUGGGUUAACUUCAGGAAACUGGGGCUAAUACCGGAUAGGAGCUCCUGCUGCAUGGUGGGGGUUGGAAAGUUUCGGCGGUUGGGGAUGGACUCGCGGCUUAUCAGCUUGUUGGUGGGGUAGUGGCUUACCAUGCCUUUGACGGGUAGCCGGCCUGAGAGGGUGACCGGCCACGUUGGGACUGAGAUACGGCCCAGACUCCUACGGGAGGCAGCAGUGGGGAAUGUUGCACAAUGGGCGGGAGCCUGAUGCAGCAACGCCGCGUGCGGGAUGACGGCCUUCGGGUUGUAAACCGCUUUCGCCUGUGACGAAGCGUGAGUGACGGUAAUGGGUAAAGAAGCACCGGCUAACUACGUG
rnacentral:rRNA from 1 species